GAUGAACGCUAGCGGCAGGCUUAAUACAUGCAAGUCGAGGGGCAGCGCAGUAGCAAUACGGGCGGCGACCGGCAAACGGGUGCGUAACACGUACGCAACCUUCCCGUUACUGGGGGAUAGCCCAGGGAAACUUGGAUUAAUACCCCAUAUUACAGAGUUCCGGCAUCGGGGCUCUGUCAAAGUUCCGACGGUAACGGAUGGGCGUGCGGUUGAUUAGGUAGUUGGCGGGGUAACGGCCCACCAAGCCUAC
rnacentral:rRNA from 1 species